rnacentral:tRNA from 1 species
GCGCCCGUAGCUCAGCUGGAUAGAGCAGCGGCCUUCUAAGCCGCGGGUCGGGGGUUCGAGCCCCUCCGGGCGCG